rnacentral:rRNA from 1 species
UACGAAGGGUGCAAACGUUGCUCGGAAUUAUUGGGCGUAAAGCGCACGUAGGCGGCUUAGCAAGUCGGAAGUGAAAGCCCUCGGCUCAACCAAGGAAGUGCUUUCGAAACUGCUGAGCUUGAGUACUUAAGAGGAUCGCGGAAUUCCCGGUGUAGAGGUGAAAUUCGUAGAUAUCGGGAGGAACACCAGUGGCGAAGGCGGCGAUCUGGGGAAGAUACUGACGCUGAGGUGCGAAAGCGUGGGGAGCAAACAGG